UACGGGGGGGGCAAGCGUUGUUCGGAAUUACUGGGCGUAAAGGGUUUGUAGGUGGCUUGUUAAGUCAGACGUGAAAUCCCUCAGCCUAACUGGGGAACUGCGUCUGAUACUGGCGAGCUUGAGUGCAGGAGAGGAACGCGGAAUUCCAGGUGUAGCGGUGAAAUGCGUAGAUAUCUGGAGGAACACCGGUGGCGAAGGCGGCGUUCUGGACUGCAACUGACACUGAGAAACGAAAGCCAGGGUAGCAAACGGG
rnacentral:rRNA from 1 species